rnacentral:lncRNA from 1 species
GUUUUCCACAGAGAGGACGCCGUGGCGCCCGGGUGCAAGGCCAGCGGGCGCGGCAGCCGCGUCACCCACCUCCUGGGGUACCCGACGCAGAACGUCAGCCGCUCCCUGCGCCGCAAGUACGCGCCUCCCCCCUGCGGCGGCCCCGAGGACGUGGCCCUGGCGCCCUGCACCGCCGCCGCCGCCUGCGAAGCGGGCCCCUCCCCGGUCUACGUCAAGGUCAAGAGCGCGGAGCCGGCUGACUGCGCCGAGGGGCCGGUGCAGUGCAAGAACGGCCUCUUGGUCUCCAGCCCACACUGUGAAGAGCCUUGUGCCCACAGCUGUGCACAUCCUGGGCUUCCUCCACACCUUGUCCAUAAACUGCCCCUCAGCUACCUUCAGACCCAGGAUACAGACGCAGCCUCCAGAAGAAUAAAUGCUCCAUUAGCAGCUGGCUGGAGCUGGCUGAGGCUCUGGCUGGUGACUCUGGCCUCUGGUGUAGACUUCCCUCAGGUGAGUGCAUGGAUGAGAGCUCUACCUUCUCCUGACUGCCCAGGCCUCAGGACAACAGGAGAACAGAUGCAAAAACUAUUGCUCAAGGAAAAUAAAGUGAAAACGAGGAAAAGCAAAAGAAGAUCUGGAGAGGGCUCUCACCUGACCACAAGCAUCCUGGAGCAAUGAGUUUCAGGCAGGAAGACUCAUCCUGAGCUGAGCUGCUUUUCUUGAAGUUGUGCAAGAACGUCCUGUUGGCUGGGGCAAAUUCAGUAUUUCUUUUCCUGGCCACUGUGCUGGAGCGUGAGGAAAGACUCUCCACCCUCACUCCCAGAUCCUGCAGGAGGCGUGAGAGCGGAUGGAGAUGGUGAGGAUGUCUAUUAAUAUGGUGUUUCCUGCAAAACGGUGCCCAUCUCAACCAUGGGUUGUCAACCAUCCUCGGUGUCUACAACUGCAAUUUACCUUUGAGGGCCCAUGAACUCUGAUUACCUGAAAGUCCUUAGGCCAGAAAGAGAAACCCCUGUCCCCCACCUCUCACUUUCACCUAUUUCUAGACCUUUUCUUACAGCAAUGCCUUGGCCCUCAGGAAGCAUCAGAUCUCAAACUGCAGGGUCUGGGGCUGAAGCUGAUGCUGGCAUGGGUGACUCAGAGUUCCUCUAUUAGUUCAAAUAUGUAAUAUCUUUUAGAGCCUAGGACUCAGGCUGGAGGCAAUUCCUUGGUGCCAGUUGGUUAAUACUUUAUGAAUAGUGGUGGGGGAGGGAAUGCCUUGGACUAUUAAUGUCCCCAUGGAUCUGGAUCCUGGAGAACUUCCAGUGUCCUGGAUGGAAUGUUCUGCUUGGCUCAUCUUGCCCAGAGAAGAGCCAGGAUAUGAGAAGAUGGGAGAGGGAAGGGGGAGGUGUGAAACGUGCUGGUGCUUCCUGUCCUCGUGGUGUGAUGGCUGCCCAGGCUGCUCCUUCGAGGCAGGACAGGAUUCCCAUGGGAGAUAUGAGGACCAUGGUGAUUUCCAGGCACCAGUUAUGUCCCAGAGCAUCGUGUGCCUGUGCAGUGGGGUUACUGAUAGUCCAGGCAUCAGUUCAUAUUGUCCUUUAUGGCAGAUCCUGCACAAGGGGGUUCUCUGUCUCUGGACCCACUCUGUCAGCAUGGACAUCCUUUUUCUUUUUCCCUGGUAAGGACAUCAGAAAGAAAGUUACCCCUCCAGUGUUUGGAGUCUUGGAAUCCUUGGCCUGCCUGCAGGCCUCUGAAUCCUCAGUGUGUUAGCCCAAGGUCACCUUAGGUAAAGGAACAUUUCUCCUGGUCUUCCAACACCCUGGAAAGGGAGGCUCUUCAAGAAUAGGAAAUUCUUCCUAGUAUCUAACCUUGGCCUGCAACUAUGCCAUACAUUUAAUUGUAGAAGGUAUGGAAAGUUAGGACUGUGGUGGACCCAGUUAAAUCACUGGACAGAAGCCAUGAGGCAGAGCCAGAACCAGCUUCUGGACUCCCUGCAUGGAGCUUUCUACUAUCCCAGGUUGUUGGGUCCCUUCUCAGUGGCCAAAGAUGCUAUUUUAUGAGCCUUGAGGACAUGACACUAAGUGAAAAAAGCCUGGCCAAAGGGCCACAUAGUGUAUAGUUCUAUUUAUAUGAAAUGUCCAGGAAAGACAAAAGCAUAGAGGCAGAAAGCAGACUAGUGCUGUGGGAGGAAUGGGGGAUUUGGGAGGUGAUGGCUAAGGGGUUAUGGGGUUUUGGGGGAGGUAAUAGAAAUGUUUUAAAAUUGGUUGUGAAGGUGGAUGCCCAACUCUGCGAAUACACUAAAAGGCAUCGAAUUGUAUACUUUAAAUAGGUGAAUUGUAUGCUAUGUGAAUUAUAUCUCAAUAAAGGUAUUUUUUCCCUGCAAAAAAAAAA